UACACUCCUACGGGAGGCAGCAGUGGGGAAUUUUGGACAAUGGGCGCAAGCCUGAUCCAGCCAUGCCGCGUGCGGGAAGAAGGCCUUCGGGUUGUAAACCGCUUUUGUCAGGGAAGAAAAGGUUCUGGCUAAUACCUGGGACUCAUGACGGUACCUGAAGAAUAAGCACCGGCUAACUACGUGCCAGCAGCCGCGGUAAUACGUAGGGUGCAAGCGUUAAUCGGAAUUACUGGGCGUAAAGCGUGCGCAGGCGGUUAUGCAAGACAGAGGUGAAAUCCCCGGGCUCAACCUGGGAACUGCCUUUGUGACUGCAUGGCUAGAGUACGGUAGAGGGGGAUGGAAUUCCGCGUGUAGCAGUGAAAUGCGUAGAUAUGCGGAGGAACACCGAUGGCGAAGGCAAUCCCCUGGACCUGUACUGACGCUCAUGCACGAAAGCGUGGGGAGCAAACAGGAUUAGAUACCCGAGUAGUCCCA
rnacentral:rRNA from 1 species